AUCACCUGAUAGCAGACUGGCCUAUCGCAGUUUCAGACGAAGAUCUAUGAAUUGUGAGAAUAAAUGAUUAGCAGAGCAUAGCAGAGUUUAAACCGUGAUGAGCAAUAACGAUCUUGAUGAUUAAUUACUGAUUUUGAUGAACCAGACUGAUAGACUCUGGGAAAGUCGGAGGGAGUUAAGAGGGAGAGAGAUCGGAGAUCGGAUGUCUUUCUCGGGUCAGUGCAGUCUUAUAAGUUUGUUUCAGAGCAGUGCUUAUAACAGAGUCCAGUAUGCCGGUUCCGCCCGGAUACGUUAACCUUGCCAGUUAUAAGUAUUUCAGUAAGUUCCUUGCCUUAAUUUAAUGUGAGCCUUUCACAUUAGUAUUUUGUUUCUUAUAAAGAGUCUGACGUGAAAUAUAUAUUUACAAUGUUUCUAGUGUUUAUUCACGUACCCUCUAGGCAUAUAAAUUCUAUGCAGUACACUGAAAAGUACAUUCUUACCAGGUUGCAGUGGAUCCGAUCCGUCACAUCGAAUAGAUUCCCCCGUACAUUAAAGAACAGUGACUAUUAAGUUUCCGGGUAGAAGUAAGCUCACGACGAUAAGAUUCCCGAUCUCCCUCUCACUUGAAGGACCAUUAUACGGAUUGAAGUUGUUCUUGAGGUCAAUAGACCCGAAUCUUCCUACUCAGAACGUGCUGCCUUUGCCGAUACCUGCUAGAUUAAUUGAUUCUCCGUCGUCAACCGAGACCAUUCGUGACAGUCAAACUGUUGACGGUGAGACUCAGUCAAAGACGCGUGAUAUUCCAGCCCUCCUACACUAUUUCUUAGAGAGAGACAUAUCAAAAGGUGAUUGCACCAACAUAGACUUAGAGUUCCUUUAAAUAGGUUAUGAGAAGAAUUUCUACCGUUUCAAUUAAUUAGUAUAGUAUCAAAAGGUUACUUCCAUUGUUAUAUAACCAUUUUUCAAUUUAAGAAGGUUUUCUCUCAUUAAUUAUACUACCAUUAGUCGUUCUAUAUUUUGUUCUAUAUUGUCGUUUCAAUUUGUGUUAACCCACCAAAAUUGAAAGUCUGAAUUAUAAUCACUAACCGCACUAAAUUAAAUAAGAAGUAACAUGAAACUCUGAAUUCUAGCAAAACUAUAAUUUCCCUAAAACAAAAGUUUUAAGACGCUCAAUCGUGGGUUCAGAACCUUCCGAGACGGACUCUCUUGAUAUAACCGGGGCCUCCCAUGUAUAGUUCUAGCCAAGUCAAAAGGAGCUCUAAAUAAAUAAUUUCUUGGAGGAAAUAAAGUACUACAUAUCAUGGACAUGGGAGAGGUGAUUAUUACCCGGUGCUAGCAACUAAU